rnacentral:tRNA from 1 species
CAGAAUGUAGCAUAAAAGGAAAUGUGCCUGCUUUGGGAGCAGGAGAUUACAGGUUCGAGUCCUGUCGUUCUGA